AGAGUUUGAUCAUGGCUCAGAACGAACGCUGGUGGCGUGUUUUAUACAUGCAAGUCGAGCGAGGACAGUAGCUUGCUACUGAGCCGAGCGGCGAACGGGUGAGUAACGCGUAAGCAAUCUGCCCCACAAUCGGGAACAACCGUGCCAACGCGCGGCUAAUGCCGGAUAUUGUGUCCUACUGCAUAGUAGGUUAACGAAAGAUUUAUCGUUGUGGGAUGAGCUUGCGUCCGAUUAGCUAGUUGGCGGGGUAAUAGCCCACCAAGGCGACGAUCGGUAGCCGGCCUGAGAGGGUGAUCGGCCACAUUGGGACUGAGAUACGGCCCAGACUCCUACGGGAGGCAGCAGUAGGGAAUAUUGCGCAAUGGGGGAACCCUGACGCAGCAACGCCACGUGUGGGAAGAAGCAUUUCGGUGUGUAAACCACUGUCGGAAAGGAAUAACGGAAGACUUCGGUCUUUAUGAAUGUACUUUUAGAGGAAGCACCGGCAAACUUCGUGCCAGCAGCCGCGGUAAUACGAGGGGUGCAAGCGUUGUUCGGAAUCACUGGGCGUAAAGGGAGCGUAGGCGGAAGUGCAAGCAAUCUGUAUAAUCCUGGGGCCCAACCCCAGUUCUGCAGAUUGGACUGUAUUUCUUGAAUAGUUCAGAGGCAAGCGGAAUUUCUGGUGUAGCGGUGGAAUGCGUAGAGAUCAGAAAGAACACCGAUGGCGAAGGCAGCUUGCUGGGGACUUAUUGACGCUGAGGCUCGAAAGUGUGGGUAGCAAACAGGAUUAGAUACCCUGGUAGUCCACACUGUAAACGAUGCAUACUGG
rnacentral:rRNA from 1 species